rnacentral:rRNA from 1 species
AACGAACGCUGGCGGCAUGCCUAACACAUGCAAGUCGAACGAGACCUUCGGGUCUAGUGGCGCACGGGUGCGUAACGCGUGGGAACCUGCCCUUAGGUUCGGAAUAACUCCCCGAAAGGGGUGCUAAUACCGGAUAAUGUCUUCGGACCAAAGAUUUAUCGCCUUUGGAUGGGCCCGCGUUGGAUUAGCUAGUUGGCAGGGUAAAAGCCUACCAAGGCGACGAUCCAUAGCUGGUCUGAGAGGAUGAUCAGCCACACUGGGACUGAGACACGGCCCAGACUCCCACGGGGGGCAGCAGGGGGGAAUAUUGGACAAGGGGCGAAAGCCUGACCCAGCAAUGCCGGGGGAGUGAUGAAGGCCUUAGGGUUGUAAAGCUCUUUUACCCGGGAUGAUAAGGACAGGACCGGGGAAAAAAGCCCCGGCUAACUCCGU